GGCCUCCUGGUACUCACCACAAUCUACAUGCUUACUUACAAUGACUACAGCCAAGAGGAGGGAAAGUAAAUCUGCCCCAUGUACGCCUCAGCCCAGCCCUGCGCCUGGGCUACAUUGUGAAUGAGGAGACAAGG
rnacentral:snoRNA from 1 species